rnacentral:rRNA from 1 species
UGGGGAAUAUUGGACAAUGGGGGGAACCCUGAUCCAGCCAUGCCGCGUGUGUGAAGAAGGCCUUAUGGUUGUAAAGCACUUUAAGCGAGGAGGAGGGUACUGGUAUUAAUACUACCAGGUACUGGACGUUACUCGCAGAAUAAGCACCGGCUAACUCUGUGCCAGCAGCCGCGGUAAUACAGAGGGUGCGAGCGUUAAUCGGAUUUACUGGGCGUAAAGCGUGCGUAGGCGGCUAAUUGAGUCGGAUGUGAAAUCCCCGAGCCUAACUUGGGAAUUGCAUUCGAUACUGGUUAGCUAGAGUGUGGGAGAGGAUGGUAGAAUUCCAGGUGUAGCGGUGAAAUGCGUAGAGAUCUGGAGGAAUACCGAUGGCGAAGGCAGCCAUCUGGCCUAACACUGACGCUGAGUUACGAAAGAAUGGGGAGCAAACAGG